UGAGGAACAUGACCUUCGGCGGGGGAUAGCCGGCCCAACGGCCGGGUAAUACCGCGUACGACCACAUGGGGACAUCCCUGAGUGGUGAAAGCAGCAAUGCGCCGAUGGAGUGCCUCGCGGCCUAUCAGCUAGUUGGUGAGGUAACGGCUCACCAAGGCGACGACGGGUANCUGGUCUGAGAGGAUGGCCAGCCACAUUGGGACUGAGACACGGCCCAGACCUCUACCGGGAG
rnacentral:rRNA from 1 species